rnacentral:rRNA from 1 species
UGGGCUUGAACUGUAAUAGACCGUGGCAGAGAUGUCACUUUUCGCAAGAACUGUUAUAGAGGUGCUGCAUGGCUGUCGUCAGCUCGUGUCGUGAGAUGUUGGGUUAAGUCCCGCAACGAGCGCAACCCUUACCUAUAGUUGCCAGCGAGUAAUGUCGGGAACUCUAUAGGGACUGCCCGGGUUAACCGGGAGGAAGGUGGGGAUGAUGUCAAGUCCUCAUGGCCCUUAUGUCCAGGGCUACACACGUGCUACAAUGGCCGAUACAAACCGCUGCAGAAUCGUGAGAUGAAGCUAAUCGGAUAAAAUCGGCCUCAGUUCGGAUUGAGGUCUGCAACUCGACCUCAUGAAGUUGGAAUCGCUAGUAAUCGAAUCAGAACGAACGG